CUGAAGGAAUUUCAGAGAUGGAUUGGUGCCUUCGGGAACUCUGAGACAGGUGCUGCAUGGCUGUCGUCAGCUCGUGUUGUGAAAUGUUGGGUUAAGUCCCGCAACGAGCGCAACCCUUAUCCUUGUUUGCCAGCGAGUAAUGUCGGGAACUCCAGGGAGACUGCCGGUGAUAAACCGGAGGAAGGUGGGGACGACGUCAAGUCAUCAUGGCCCUUACGAGUAGGGCUACACACGUGCUACAAUGGCGCAUACAGAGGGCAGCCAACUUGCGAAAGUGAGCGAAUCCCAAAAAGUGCGUCGUAGUCCGGAUUGGAGUCUGCAACUCGACUCCAUGAAGUCGGAAUCGCUAGUAAUCGUGGAUCAAAAUGCCACGGUGAAUACGUUCCCGGGUCUUGUACACACCGA
rnacentral:rRNA from 1 species